GCAAUCGUUUUUAUAGUUUUUGGCAUAUUUUAGUGUUUGUAGUGGUUUUUAUGGUUUUUGGCCAAUUUUAGUGUUUGUAAUCGUUUUUAUGGUUUGUGGCCUAUUUUGGUGUUUGUAGUGGUUUUUAUGGUUUUUGGCCAAUUUUAGGGUCGUUUUAAUGGUUUUUGGCCAAUUUUAUUGUUUGUAGUCGUUUUUAUGGUUUUUGGCGUAUUUUAGUGUUUGUAAUCGUUUUUAUGGUUUUUGGCCUAUUUUAGUGUUUGUAGUGGUUUUUGGCCAAUUUUACUGUUUGUAAUCGUUUUUAUGGUUUUUGGCUUAUUUUAGU
rnacentral:lncRNA from 1 species